AACGAACGCUGGCGGCAUGCCUAACACAUGCAAGUCGAACGAGACCUUCGGGUCUAGUGGCGCACGGGUGCGUAACGCGUGGGAACCUGCCCUUAGGUUCGGAAUAACUCCCCGAAAGGGGUGCUAAUACCGGAUAAUGUCUUCGGACCAAAGAUUUAUCGCCUUUGGAUGGGCCCGCGUUGGAUUAGCUAGUUGGUAGGGUAAAAGCCUACCAAGGCGACGAUCCAUAGCUGGUCUGAGAGGAUGAUCAGCCACACUGGGACUGAGACACGGCCCAGACUCCUACGGGAGGCAGCAGUGGGGAAUAUUGGACAAUGGGCGAAAGCCUGAUCCAGCAAUGCCGCGUGAGUGAUGAAGGCCUUAGGGUUGUAAAGCUCUUUUACCCGGGAUGAUAAUGACAGUACCGGGAGAAUAAGCUCCGUCUAACUCCGUG
rnacentral:rRNA from 1 species